rnacentral:rRNA from 1 species
UACAGAGGUGGCAAGCGUUGUUCGGAAUUACUGGGCGUAAAGGGCGCGUAGGCGGCUUUUUAAGUCAGACGUGAAAUCCCCCGGCUUAACCUGGGAACUGCGUCUGAUACUGGGAAGCUUGAGUUCGGGAGAGGGAUGCAGAAUUCCAGGUGUAGCGGUGAAAUGCGUAGAUAUCUGGAGGAAUACCGGUGGCGAAGGCGGCAUCCUGGACCGAGAUUGACACUGAUGAGCGAAAGCUAGGGGAGCAAACGGG